GUCAUAAUCGGGAUUUGACAUAAGUUGUUUUUUUAUGUGAGCUAACAGUUUGCUGAAUAUAGGCAUUUAAUGUUGAAUUUAAUCAUAAUUUUAAUUGAACUAGGCAUGGUUUUACACAUUUGUACAAAAGUGUCUUCUAAAACAAAUAAAUAAAAGUACAGCAGUUCAUAUUCCUUCAAAUCACGUGACAAACCGAAGACGAUUAAUAUUUGUGGAAAUUCCAGAGCAUGAGAGACUUCCUCUUGUUAUCAAGAUGUAACAUGACUCCCUUGAGACUUUACACAGGUGAAUCAAGAAGAGCUUUGCUGUGACAACAAAUAGGAUCUCAAAUGGUAAAUAAUGGCAUUAUAAAGUCAUCUCUGCUGAAGCAUGGAGCAACUUCUCAGAAUGCCAGUUUUGACAAUGGAGGAAUCAGGAAAACUGCUGUCUUCAAGACUGCUUUCCCUGCUGAAGAAUGGACAAUGGAAAAAAGAUGAUGUUGUCAAGUUGUUUAAAGCUCUUGUGGAGCAAUUUAAUGACAGUACUGAUGAUUUUCACACAUGGAUGAUGAAAAUCAUUCAUCAAGUAGAGAUUCAUAAAAUCCAAGUGUUGGAUUUGACUUUCCAAAAUGGUAGUAAGAUUGUGGAUGAUGUUGAGGCCAAAGUUAAUGAAAUAGCCAAAAACACUGAUGAGAAAACACUGGAUGAGAUUGUGGAAGAAAUUCGUAAACAAGGAAAUACUGAUGAAGAUAUUAUGGCACAAGUGAAAGAUAUUGUGUCCUCUGUGUCAAAAUGUCUAUCAGCUUCUACAGCACCAAUUUUAAAAGGAAUAAAGCAAAAGCUAUUCAAGAUCUGCAAAGCAGUUCAAAAAAAGAGCAAGAACAAAAUAACACCUCGCCUGACUCAGAUGGUGAGCUGGUGCAUUCUUGUUCUUUCUAAAUCAAGUCAGCUGGUUCAAGUUGGAACAGGAGAAGGAAAGUCAUGCAUUGUGGCAAUGUUUGCAGCAUAUCAGGCCAUGGUGGGAAACACCCCUGAUAUCAUCUCCAGUUCUCCUGUGCUUGCUGAGAGAGACGUUGAAGAAUGGUUUGACUUUUAUAAGGAAUUAGAUAUAACCGUUAAUGUCAACACCAAUAAAACCAAAGACAAAGAGCUGAAGAAGUGCUAUGAAUGCCAGGUGGUCUAUGGUACAACGCAGAGUUUUGCAGGUGAUUUUCUGAGACAGCGCUUCCACAGAAAAGAUGUUAGACCUAAAAGAGAGUUUCAAUGUGUUAUAGUCGAUGAGGUGGACUCGCUUAUGCUGGACAAAGGUCUUGAAGUGGUUUACUUGAAUAGUAACAUACCUCUCAUGGAACCAUUGAAUCAAUUAUUGGCUGAAAUUUGGUUUGUCAUCAACCAGCUGAAGCGUUUAGACACUGGAGAGAUUUUAGGACCCAUUCAGCUCUUCUCUGAGGUUCUGUCUGAAAUCAUGCAUGAAAACAAAAGCAUUGAUCAUCUCACUAUGGUGCAGACAGCUUUGGAUGCAGGAAUUAUGCCUAUAAAGUCUUCAAAGCAAAACACAACAAAUGUUUUAAAACAACUAGAUAAUGCAAGUGUCGUGCAAAUGGUGGCAUUUUUAACCAUGUUUGUAGGGAAUUUCCCCGAGUAUUUCUUUAGAUUAUACCAGGACAGGCCUAAUGGGACUUUAAAGAGACUGAAUGAAAUCAGUGCUGCAGGUACAAACAAGAGACAAGAAAUAUCAGUUCUUCUUCUGGGAAAUGGAAAAUGUCGUGUUGUGCACUCUGAGGAGAACUCAGUAGUUGCAUCAAUGGGAAAAAGGAUUAAAAUGGUUUAUCAGUCUGAAUCAGUAAAUGUACAAAAUGAAUCUAAUAUUCCAGGGUUUCGAGACCUCAUUAAUGGCAAGGCACAAACUUGGAUUGAAAAUGCUCUGCAAGCCACCAAAAUGACUCUGGGUAAUGAAUACGUCCUUCAUGGAAAUGGAGUUGCUCCUGUUGAUUACAAAUGCACUGGUGUCGUCCAAAACAACAUGAAAUGGGGGGAAGGCCUUCAGCAGUUCCUGGAGAUGAAACACCAAACUAAACUGUCCAACAUGAGUCUAAUCACAAACUUCAUGUCUAAUGUGGGUUUAUUCAAUAAAUAUGCAAAUCAUGUCUAUGGGAUCACAGGAACUUUGGGUGACCAAACAGAGCUUGACAUGCUGAAGGAGCUCUACAAUGGCAUUGAGACAUGUAAGAUUCCCUCCUUUAGACGUAGGAAACUUUAUGAACUGGAAGGCAUGGUGAUACCUGAGGAAGAUGAGUGGAUCAGGAUGGUCUGUAAAGUUGUUCAGGAUCAAGUGUCCUCCACAGUCUAUCGAAGUCCACGAGCAGCUCUCGUCAUCUGUGAAACAAUCAAUCGGGCAGUAAAUUUUUAUAUGACCCUUGCAGACACCAUCUCAAAAGACAAACUAAAACUCUAUGUGAAUAACAACAUGGAUAACUCUACAAUAAUUGAUAACAUAGUCCAAGCGGGGGAUGUCAUCAUUGCAACUAAUCUAGCAGGUCGAGGGACAGACCUAAAGGUUUGUGAAAGUGUAAAUGAGGCAGGAGGUCUGUUUGUGAUGCAAACCUUCUUACCUCUGAACGUCCGUGUCGAACAGCAAGCAUUUGGACGAACUGCUCGCCAAGGGAGUCCAGGAUCCGCUCAACUCAUCAUGUGCGCCAGUCAUUUCUCUGGCUUAGUCAAACUUGUGAUGGGUGAAAACACAUCUCUCACCGACUUACUCAGCCAUCUGAAUAAUUUAAUACAGAAAUCACAUAGUCUUAAAGAGAUUCUAUUUGAGGAAACUGUUAAUUACUACCUGGAAAAUCACAGCUCUCAGACUCAUGACGCAAUGGUUUCUGCUCUGACAGACCUCCUAACAAUAAAUUCAUUCCCAUCACAGAAAAGCAAUCUGGAAGAGGUAAAAGAUGCCAGAAAUAUUCUGGUGAACAUCAGACUCUCUGGGUUUCUUGAAAAAGACAUUCCAGAAAUCAUGAAUAAGGAAGAGUUUUUUUCUGUUUACCUUGACGUUUUGGAUGGCAUUUAUGAAGAUGAUGUUUUCUCUGACCAGCGUGAUGUAAUGGUGUCCUCUCUUCAUGAGUGUUGGGGUGUGUGGCUCCUGAUGCAUUUCAGUGAGGAAAAACCUUUUGAGAUGUUGAAGAAACAGCUGAAGGUGGAUUUGUUGAGUGCAAAGCAGAAACUUUUUAAUAAGCAAUCCCCAUCCACCAUGGUCUACUAUUACAUCAGGUCUGGGAACAAUCUUCGUGAGAAGGGAUGCCUUGCAGAAAGCAUUGAAAUGUACACAAAAGCUCUGGAGGAUGACACAUCUGGGGAGAUUAUUCCUCUCUAUAAUCGUGCACUGGCCACUAUUAUGAAGAAAGACAUUGGUUAUAUCACUCAAGCACUGGCUGAUCUGGAAAAGGCUAACAAGGCAAUAGUUUCAUACAGGUCAAAUCUGGAAUGGAUUCUGACUUGCAUUAAAUUAUCAAGUCAUGAGCCAGAAACAGAAGGCGAUACUUUGCUCACAAAGCAGUUUCAAAUUAAGUUUAUGAUUGUAGAUCUACUCAAGAUGAACAUUCAAGAUGCUGUAACAAAGUUGAAGAGAGCUGAAAGCAUAGGAGGAAAUGUAAGCCUGACUGAAAAACAUCCACUUUUUCUGGUUGCACACAUUAUGUUCAGUUAUCCAAGACUUUUGGAUAAUCUUAUGAGGGAGCUUAUUCAUACCAUGUCAUUGGGUCUUGAUGAAGUUUUCUCUUUAGACACCAUGUUUUCUGCCAGUGGCCUUUUGUCAAAAUUAUUAAAACUUGUGAAAUAUAACACAUUUCUCAAAGAUCCUUAAACAUAUAAGGUCAGUUUUAUAUAAGCAUUAAACACAUAUACUGUAUUGUGCAUAUCUAAUGUAUAUGUCCUAAGUAUUAUUCCUAUCACAGAUACAUGAAUUCUUCCUGAUGAUACAUUUCAUACUUUACAAUUUUGAGAAGGACAUUUUAAGUUAACACUGCAAAUUAUGAAAGAAUUUGUAAAUGUUUACAUAUUGAAAAGUAAAUACUUUACUGUUUUUAGUGCUGAAUGUUGAAAGAUAUUUUGUUGUAUAUUUAUCCUUUAUUUUAUGUAAAUAACUUAUUUUGAUCAUCUGCUGCAUGCAUGCUCUACUGUACAUGUAAAUGCACAGUUUCAUAUUCUGCAUGUAAUGGACUUAUGUGAAAAACAAGGAAAUUUUAAAGGAAUAGUACUACAAUGUAAAUUCUGUCAUUAUUUAUUCUGUCAUCAAUAUCUGUCAUCAAGUCUCAUUGGAUAAAGGAAAUGUUGUCGGGGCAGUGUACCUAGACCUAAAGAAGGCCUUUGACACUGUUAAUCGAAGUAUUUUAUUAAAUAAAUUAAAUCAGUAUAAAAUGACA
ensembl:lncRNA